CGAGGACGAACGCUGGCGGCGUGCCUAACACAUGCAAGUCGAACGGACGAAGGGAGCUUGCUCCCCUAGUUAGUGGCGAACGGGUGAGUAACGCGUGAGCAACCUGCCUUUCAGAGGGGGACAACGGUUGGAAACGACCGCUAAUACCGCAUGAAGCAAUCGGACCGCAUGAUCUGAUUGCCAAAGAUUUAUCGCUGAAAGAUGGGCUCGCGUCUGAUUAGAUAGUUGGUGGGUAACGGCCUACCAAGUCGACGAUCAGUAGCCGGACUGAGAGGUUGAACGGCCACAUUGGGACUGAGAUACGGCCCAGACUCCUACGGGAGGCAGCAGUGGGGAAUAUUGGGCAAAUGGGGGAAACCCUGACCCAGCAACGCCGCGUGAAGGAAGAAGGCUUUCGGGUUGUAAACUUCUUUUACCGAGGACGAAGAACGUGACGGUACUCGGAGAAAAAGCCACGGCUAACUACGUGCCAGCCGCUGC
rnacentral:rRNA from 1 species